rnacentral:rRNA from 1 species
ACGAACGCUGGCGGCGUGCUUAACACAUGCAAGUCGAACGGAAAGGCCCUGCUUUUGUGGGGUGCUCGAGUGGCGAACGGGUGAGUAACACGUGAGUAACCUGCCCUUGACUUUGGGAUAACUUCAGGAAACUGGGGCUAAUACCGGAUAGGAGCUCCUGCUGCAUGGUGGGGGUUGGAAAGUUUCGGCGGUUGGGGAUGGACUCGCGGCUUAUCAGCUUGUUGGGGGGGUAGUGGCUUACCAAGGCUUUGACGGGUAGCCGGCCUGAGAGGGUGACCGGGCACAUUGGGACUGAGAUACGGCCCAGACUCCUACGGGAGGCAGCAGUGGGGAAUAUUGCACAAUGGGCGGAAGCCUGAUGCAGCAACGCCGCGUGCGGGAUGACGGCCUUCGGGUUGUAAACCGCUUUCGCCUGUGACGAAGCGUGAGUGACGGUAAUGGGUAAAGAAGCACCGGCUAACUACGUG